rnacentral:rRNA from 1 species
ACGCUCGACACCUACGGGAGCAGCAGUUGGGAAUAUUGGACAAUGGAGGAAACUCUGAUCCAGUGACGCCGCGUGAAGGAAGAAGGUCUUCGGAUUGUAAACUUAUUUUGUCAGGGAAGAAAAAUGACUGUACCUGAAGAAAAAGCACCGGCUAACUACGUGCCAGCAGCCGGGUAAUCUGAGCGGGCUGGCAAGGC